rnacentral:rRNA from 1 species
AUUGAACGCUGGCGGCAGGCCUAACACAUGCAAGUCGAACGAGUGGCGGACGGGGGAGUAAUGUCUGGGAAACUGCCCGAUGGAGGGGGAUAACUACUUGAAACGGUAGCUAAUACCGCAUACCAUCGGAUGUGCCCAGAUGGGAUUAGCGAGUAGGUGGGGUAACGGCUCACCUAGGCGACGAUCCCUAGCUGGUCUGAGAGGACGACCAGCCACACUGGAACUGAGACACGGGCCAGACUCCUACGGGAGGCAGAAGUGGGGAAUAUUGGACAAGGGGCGCAAGCCUGAUGCAGCCAUGCCGCGGGUAUGAAGAAGGCCUUCGGGUUGUAAAGUACGUUCAGCGAGGAGGCGUUACUCGCAGAAGAAGCACCGGCUAACUCCGUGCCAGCAGCCGCGGUAAUAC